GUAAUGACUUGUUCAGGGAGAUACCCUCUGUUUUGUAAAAUAUUAAGUUCAUGUUCAGCCAAAGGAUUCUAACUGGAGGCUUGUUAGCGAAGAAGUUACAAGUUCGUUCAGGAAUGUUUUGGACGUGGUCAUUGUUGUUCACAUUGGGAGUCAUCGUCUCAGCCAUGUAGCUUAUGUCCAGGCAGUUAAUGUGCCUUACAGUGACAAGAGACUUUGUGGAAACUCUGGGUAUUAUACUCUGUACAGAAUCAAGAUUUCUAUUCCCCCCCAAGCCUUCACUUAAUUUUUUGUCAUUCCUGAAGGCAAUCUUGAUGCUGGCUUUUAUGAAGGCAUACUUGAUUAUGACAUUUUUUUUUGCAUUCCCUAACAUAGAGGUUCAUAUCCUGAAGGCGACAGAACGAACGUAAUGAAAUCUUAGUCUCUUGUCUUGUAUGUUCAGUGGGGACUCUAUACGUGAGUUUUAGAGGGUAGACUGAAUGCCAUGAUCUCUAAUUUCAUUAUAUGUUGUGGGCAUCAGUGUCCGUUUUUUCAGGGCAUCUCAAAGUGUGCUUGCUAUGAUUAUUGGACCUGCAUGGUUUAUUUUUUGACAUUGUAAAUAGGUUAUUCUAAAGGAAGUUGUUGAGUGUUGUAGAAUGGCUGUAGAGAAAUUUUGGUCAUGUAUGACAUUUGAAGCGAUUGAUUUU